UGGGGAAUCUUCCGCAAUGGACGAAAGUCUGACGGAGCAACGCCGCGUGAGUGAUGACGGUCUUCGGAUUGUAAAGCUCUGUUAAUCGGGACGAAUGGUUUGUGUGCAAAUAGUGCAUAGACAUGACGGUACCGGUAUAGAAAGCCACGGCUAACUACGUGCCAGCAGCCGCGGUAAUACGUAGGUGGCAAGCGUUGUCCGGAAUUAUUGGGCGUAAAGCGCGCGCAGGCGGACUAGCCAGUCAGUCUUAAAAGUUCGGGGCUUAACCCCGUGAUGGGAUUGAAACUACUAGUCUAGAGUAUCGGAGAGGAAAGUGGAAUUCCUAGUGUAGCGGUGAAAUGCGUAGAUAUUAGGAAGAACACCAGUGGCGAAGGCGACUUUCUGGACGAACACUGACGCUGAGGCGCGAAAGCCAGGGGAGCGAACGGG
rnacentral:rRNA from 1 species